UCUGGCUUCUGCUUCUUCAGCCAAGCUGCCUCGGUGUGGGUUAACAACGACAGAAAUCUGGAGAUAGUCCAAAUGGGAUAGAGACUGUGAAGCUCAACGCUGCGGGUGCCUCAGUCAGGAGGAGCGUUCUUAGCACCCUACCAGCAGGUAUGUGCUUACCAGAAAACUAAAGCCUGUGGAAGCCAAAAAGCACGAACACCAGGGAGCUGCUGUUGAACUGUAAGAAAGAACCUGAUGCUGGGACAGAACACCGAAUACUGUCAUCAAAAUGUGCCUUCUGUCAUACCCUGCUGCAACUAUAUUCCAGGGAUCUGAAUUUUGCCAGAAUGUGCCAUAGUACUCAACCCCUCGAAGUCAUUGAGAACCAGUUGGGCACUGUAAGAAUUACAGAAGAAAAAUCAAACCUGGUCCUUGCUCCAAGGCACUGACAAAUGGGUAAACUUCCUUCUUUUUAUGUCUGUGGAUGUUCUCUACUGAAGAAAGUGUGCCCGAGCUGAUUCAGUCACUGUACUACAAACCCACUGAGAGAGCUGAAUGGCUCGUGUCACUGAGCCUAAUCUCAUUGAGCCAUAAUAAAGUAGCGAGUCGUGGAGAUGACCAUGCAACAAAGGCAGACCUCCCUUGCCACACCUGCCCACCCGGCCAAUGUUAACUGUCACCACUGCUGAAUCUCCAGUCUUCCAGCAGCAGAGACCAGCACUGAGUCCUCAAAUUGACCCCAGUCCUUCAAUGCUCAGUCAGCAAGUUGGUGGCUGGUUGAUUACAUGGGAACUCCUUCAACAUAAAAGGAGAUUGUAUUUUUGUUCUUAACCACAACAGAUACUCUGGGUGUCUUGCUUCUGCCAAUACUACCAUCCACAAACUUAUAGAAUGUUUUAGCCAGUGUUGCGGUAUGCUGUGCAGCAUCGUUUAUGAUCGAGGAACUAACUUCAUUGUAAAAGAAGAAUUGUCAACAAGCAAGUGCUUAUGGCAGUCACUGGCCUUACCAAAUUUGCUAUCAUCCUAAAGUAGGUGGUUUGAUAAAAGGUGGACUAAGGGACGUCUGGGGGCACUAACUUGCUUAACACAAAUGACUGGAUGC